GCCUGAUGGUCUAGUGGAUAGUGGAUGGGACUCUGGGUCAACUGGCCUGGGUUCGAUUCCCGGGCCGGGCA